UCUAUUUUUUUUUUUUUUCUCUCUUUCUUUUUCUUCCUUGUUUCCCAGUCUCUAAACAUGAUGAAUACAA
rnacentral:ribozyme from 1 species